AGCAGCCGCGGUAAUUCCAGCUCCAAUAGCGUAUAUUAAAGUUGUUGCAGUUAAAAAGCUCGUAGUUGAAUUUCGGGAUCAAGGGAUUGGUCAUGCCUUUGUAUGUACUGGUCUUAUUGGUUCUCACCUUCUAAGGAACCAUGAUGUCAUUUAUUUGAUGUUGUGGGGAAUUAGGACUGUUACCUUGAAAAAAUUAGAGUGUUUAAAGCAGGCUUACGCUUGAAUACAUUAGCAUGGAAUAAUGAAAUAGGACAUCAGAUUCUAUUUUGUUGGUUUCUAGGAUCGAUGUAAUGAUUAAUAGGGAUAGUUGGGGGCAUUAGUAUUCAAUUGUCAGAGGUGAAAUUCUUGGAUUUAUUGAAGACUAACUACUGCGAAAGCAUUUGCCAAGGAUGUUUUCAUUAAUCAAGAACGAAAGUUAGGGGAUCGAAGACGAUCAGAUACCGUCGUAGUCUUAACCAUAAACUAUGCCGACUAGGGAUCGGAUGAUGUUAAUUUUAAUGACUCAUUCGGCUACCG
rnacentral:rRNA from 1 species